rnacentral:rRNA from 1 species
GUCAGCUCGUGUCGUGAGAUGUUGGGUUAAGUCCCGCAACGAGCGCAACCCUUGUCAUUAGUUGCUACAUUCAGUUGGGCACUCUAAUGAGACUGCCGGUGACAAGCCGGAGGAAGGUGGGGAUGACGUCAAGUCAUCAUGGCCCUUAUGUCCAGGGCUACACACGUGCUACAAUGGGCGAGACAGAGCGACGCGAAGCCGCGAGGUGGAGCAAAUCGCAGAAAAUCGCCCUCAGUUCGGAUUGGAGUCUGAAACCCGACUCCAUGAAGGUGGAAUCGCUAGUAAUCGCGCAUCAGCAUGGCGCGGUGAAUACGUUCCCGGGCCUU